UAGAACCAAGGUUCUCAAAUUCCUCCAACAUUCACCUCUAUUCCAAAAUUUUCCAGGAAGCUAUUAGCAAGAACCAGCAUGAUGGGGGAGAAGCACCGCUGUAUUCGUCACUACAAAACUCCAGAACAAAUUCACUGAAAGCUUUUAUUAGGGGAUUUGACUUUCUCCCAAGGAAGAUCGUUGCCUUCUGUUGCCUUCUGCUCUGUCCCUAGAGCCCAGAUCUCACAGUUUCUAGUCCAGAGUCCAGACAGAGUUGGCAGAGAAAAGUGACUCGAGUUCCUUGAAAACAAACCACACAUCCCUUCAUCUCUGCACCCCCUCCAGAGCCUUGCAGUCUUCACUGUCAUCACAUUCAAGCACAUGCUGCAUAAAGGAAGGAAGCGGGAAUGGAAUGGACAGGUAGCAUGCUGUGAAUAUAAAGACACUCAGUGGAUUCCUGGCCACUUGGACAGUGGAAGGGGAUUUUCUCAGAGCCACCAAAACCAAUAUUCUAGGCUCACCUAACAUAAUGUAACUGAGAAUUCUUGGUUCUAAUUUGAGGCACCUGAUACAUAAAGGAAGGCGCAUAGGAUGGAGGCCCCAGAGACCGUAUUUAUUACUCAAUGGGGCAGGAAAUUGGGAGAAGGCUCUGGUGUCCAGGAGAAGAGUUCAGGCCAGUGGAUUAAGCCCCAUCAUGAGCCAGGAACUGAGCUAGUCCUGGCUGAAAAUGCAACCACAGCACACACUUCUGCUCUCAAGGGGCUUAGGGUUCGGCGGGGGAGAGACUUACAUAAUACACAUGUGAGACAGUCACAAGUGCGAGAAGCCAUGUCUGCUCAUUUGUGCUUGUCAAGAUAAUUUCACACAGUCCCUGAAUCUGUGAGGCCAUGCAGCUCUUUGGGAAGAUGCUUUGAAGACAAAACAGGAUGGACCACAUGGCUCCCACACCACUUGCCUGAGUCACUAUGCUCCUUAAAAGAUGAAUGACCCUAGCCUUGACUUUUCCUACACAGAAGAUAACGUUUGACAGGGUUAGUGACUAUGCCUCUGUAAUUCAUUACUAAAUGCAUUUUAGUCAUCUAUAACCAGAUAUACUCUGGCACCCAGACUUUGACGUGAUUUUGCACGUACUGAACCUUCACCACCCGUCCAUAAACUGUGAGCUGAAACACCACAUUGGAGCCUCUGAUGGAACUGCUCCCGGGCUGUAGACCUCCAUCUACAG
rnacentral:lncRNA from 10 species